ACUGAACAAGAGUUUCAGCUACUUUGGCUUGGUGCAGAGAAGACUUUCCAUUCUAAGCUAAGAAGACAGACAAACCACGUUUCUUCCUUAAGACUAGGGAUUAUGUAAGAAAACCAUUCUGAAUCACUUGUGAGGUCGCUUUCGUCGUUGAUAGAAGUGUUGAUGCAAUGAUUCAAACUUCAUAACCCAGUCUUCACAAAGAUCAAGAUCAAUCCAGAGGUUUAUCAUCUUCUGACUUAUCAACUGCCGAGGUUUCCAACCUCUAAGACUAACAACUUCUGAUGUUGAUAUCCUCUGAGCUUUAAGAAUUUCUGAAUGGUCAUCUUCUGGCAUGUGUUCAGAACUUAUCUUCAAAAUAAUUCUGCAUACUUACAAAUAAAUUUUUA
rnacentral:lncRNA from 1 species